CAUACUUCAGGAUGGCUCUCCGAGACUGCUGUUCCAUAUGAGCGCACUCUCUAACAGUAAGAGGAAACAAUUACAGUUUUGAGUCAGAGAGAAGAAGAUGUGCUUUAGGCUGCCUGUACGCUUCUGAAUCACCACCUUUUCUCUCUUCCUGUUCUGGUGGGCAUGUUCUGAAACAGUUCUGCAGCUGUCCAGGUUUGCUCAUUCUCAGUCAAAAAGAGCACUCUGCCGCACUCUGGAGCUAAAUUAAGAGCCCAAAAAUCCACCCUCCAAAAGUAAAGAGCUGAAAGACAGAGAAAGAGAGGUGAUAUUGCUCAUUUGCCAACUGCAAAACCUAAAACUAGUCAUCAGAACAUACUGGAUAUCCUGAGAGAGGCAGAUCUGCUUUGCUUCAUAAGCCUGGCCUGAUUUCCCCCAUCUCAAGCCAUCACAUCUGCUUUAGAUAUUAUUAUGGCAAUGAGGACAACACUACAGCAGGAAAUGGAAAAGAGACUAAUGUCAGUAAAAGCUGGUGUAUGCUGCACACAGCUGCACAUUGCAAGACAUUGCUUCAAGACUAGCUUCAUGGUGUAAGAUUCAAUAUUGUUGGUCUCAUUCAGACUUUCUAACGUAUUAAGUUUAGAUAUGUUAUUCAGACUUUUGGUGUGCUAUCUUGUAAUUCCAAUAGCCUCAUUAACUACACGAAAGUCUACCACUUGUGCACGCAUCACAGCUCCCCGUCUAUGGUCAUUCCACAUUCUCUCUUGAAUCUUCUAGACGUUCUGGGGCUUGACAUCACACCUAACCUUAAUGACUUUAUUCAAACUGUAUAAAACCUCUGCUUCUUGUUCAGUUUCCAGAGGACAUUCUUCUCUGGAAGCUUCACAUGUAGACUGAUCUCCUCCAGUGAGCACCUGUAUUUGCCAAUAAAGUAUAUAUUUUCAUCAGUC